rnacentral:rRNA from 1 species
AUGGUUCUAACUGUUAAAAAGCUCUGUGUUUCUACGGAGAGUGAUAGUAUCAAAUGGGGACUGGGCCCUAAACCCUACUUCACAACCAAAGCACUAUAUUCCUAUCUGGAGAGAAACAUCUCUGGAUGCAAUUAUCGAUGGAUAUGGAAAGCUCGCAUCCCUUUGAAAAUCCAAAAUUUUAUGUGGCAACUAUCGCAAGAUGCGAUGCUGACUAGAGAUGUGAUGAAACGUCGUGGAUGGAAAGGGGAACCUAAGUGUUCGUUCUGUGGGGAGAGGGAAACCUCCCAGCAUCUCUUUUUUACUUGUCUUGUUGCCAGGGUUACUUGGAGAGUGCUGGGGUGCAUGUUUGGCACUGAGUUAUGCCCUGACAACUUGUGGCAGACAUAUGUUUGGUGCUAUGUGUUUUUUUCCUGGUGGGGAUACAUUUUAUACUGUUGGCAUUGCGGCUGUGUGCUGGGCUAUUUGGACCUGCCGCAAUUGAACUACUUUUGA